rnacentral:rRNA from 1 species
GACGAACGCUGGCGGCGUGCCUAACACAUGCAAGUCGAACGGAAAGGCCCUGCUUUUGUGGGGUGCUCGAGUGGCGAACGGGUGAGUAACACGUGAGUAACCUGCCCUUGACUUUGGGAUAACUUCAGGAAACUGGGGCUAAUACCGGAUAGGAGCUCCUGCUGCAUGGUGGGGGUUGGAAAGUUUCGGCGGUUGGGGAUGGACUCGCGGCUUAUCAGCUUGUUGGUGGGGUAGUGGCUUACCGAGGCUUUGACGGGUAGCCGGCCUGAGAGGGUGACCGGCCACAUUGGGACUGAGAUACGGCCCAGACUCCUACGGGAGGCAGCAGUGGGGAAUAUUGCACAAUGGGCGGAAGCCUGAUGCAGCAACGCCGCGUGCGGGAUGACGGCCUUCGGGUUGUAAACCGCUUUCGCCUGUGACGAAGCGUGAGUGACGGUAAUGGGUAAAGAAGCACCGGCUAACUACGUG